rnacentral:rRNA from 1 species
UGGGGAAUAUUGCACAAUGGGGGAAACCCUGAUGCAGCAACGCCGCGUGAGUGAUGACGGUCUUCGGAUUGUAAAGCUCUGUCUUUAGGGACGAUAAUGACGGUACCUAAGGAGGAAGCCACGGCUAACUACGUGCCAGCAGCCGCGGUAAUACGUAGGUGGCAAGCGUUGUCCGGAUUUACUGGGCGUAAAGGGAGCGUAGGCGGAUCUUUAAGUGGGAUGUGAAAUACUCGGGCUCAACCUGGGGGCUGCAUUCCAAACUGGGGAUCUAGAGUACAGGAGGGGAGAGUGGAAUUCCUAGUGUAGCGGUGAAAUGCGUAGAGAUUAGGAAGAACACCAGUGGCGAAGGCGACUCUCUGGACUGUAACUGACGCUGAGGCUCGAAAGCGUGGGGAGCAAACAG